rnacentral:rRNA from 1 species
AUGGAACCGAUGAUAGAGGAGUUCUUUAAUGAUUCGUUGUCGUCUUCGAGCUCCGAGUCUGCGAGUGAGGUCAUGAACACCGUAGGUGAUGAGAUUGUGUUAAUGGCUGCUCAAUGGACAGCGGCAAUCAGAACAAAGAGAAAGUGUGCGGGGUUGCAGAUGAGUCAUUUGACAUUUCAUCCUAAUAGAGUCGUCGAUCAUAAUUUGCGCAUGUCUAACUACUUUGUGCCUGGUUGUACCUAUCCUGCCUACAUGAUCUAUCGACGCUUCCACACAUCGCAAUGGCUAUUUCGUCGAAUUGCGGAUGACAUAGAAGCCAAUGAACCGUUCUUCAAGCAACGGAGAAAUACUGUGGGUCUGUUAGGUUUUUCUAUUGCUAGAAGGUGA